UACGUAGGGGGCAAGCGUUGUCCGGAUUUAUUGGGCGUAAAGAGCGUGUAGGCGGCCAUGUAGGUCCGGUGUGAAAACUCGAGGCUUAACCUCGAGAUGUCAUCGGAAACCAUUUGGCUAGAGUCCGGAAGAGGAGAGUGGAAUUCCUGGUGUAGCGGUGAAAUGCGCAGAUAUCAGGAAGAACACCAAUGGCGAAGGCAGCUCUCUGGGACGGUACUGACGCUGAGGCGCGAAAGCUAGGGGAGCAAACGGG
rnacentral:rRNA from 1 species